GGAAAGACCCCGUGCACCUUUACUACAACUUCGCAUUGGCAUCAGGAUUGUGAUGUGCAGGAUAGGUGGUAGGCUUUGAACCCGUGACGCCAGUCGCGGUGGAGCCUCCCUUGAGAUACCACCCUUCGCACUCUUGAUGUCUAACCGCGGUCCGUUAUCCGGAUCCGGGACCCUGCGUGGUGGGUAGUUUGACUGGGAUGGUCGCCUCCAAAAGAG
rnacentral:rRNA from 1 species